GUUAACAAUGCGAAUGGUGAUUAUACUCAUUCAAUCAGCACGGCUGAUAAUGGAGCCCAAUCAAAAUCACCAGCUGAUACAACAGAUUCCUCAGUAGUCUUUGACACAAUGUCACAUCCGGGUCAUUCCUUCUUAGAUUAUUCAGGUAGGACAACUAUUUUAGUAAAACUUUGCAACAAAGUCUCAUUUGUUAAAGGAAUAGUUCAC
rnacentral:lncRNA from 1 species